AGGAUUCCCCUAGUAACUGCGAGUGAAGCGGGAAAAGCUCAAAUUUGAAAUCUGGCGGUCUUUGGCCGUCCGAGUUGUAACCUGGAGGAGCGCUUUCCGCGCCGGACCGUGUACAAGUCUCCUGGAACGGAGCGUCAUAGAGGGUGAGAAUCCCGUCCAUGACACGGACGCCCGGUGCUUUGUGAUUGCGCCCCCGAAGAGUCGCGUUGUUUGGGAAUGCAGCGCAAAAUGGGUGGUAAAUUCCAUCUAAAGCUAAAUAUUGGCGAGAGACCGAUAGCGAACAAGUACCGUGAGGGAAAGAUGAAAAGCACUUUGGAAAGAGAGUUAAACAGUACGUGAAAUUGUUGAAAGGGAAACGCUUGAAGUCAGUCGCGUCGCACGGAACUCAGCCUGGCCUUGGCCUGGUGUACUUUCCGUGCGACGGGUCAACAUCAAUUUCGGGCGGCGGACAAGGGCGAGGGGAAUGUAGCGUCGCUUCGGCGGCGUGUUAUAGCCCCUUGUCGUAUACGCCGUGCGGGAUUGAGGACCGCAGCGCGCCCUUGUGGCCGGGGUUCGCCCACGUCACGCGCUUAGGAUGUUGGCAUAAUGGCUUUAAGCGACCCGUCUUGAAACACGGACCAAGGAGUCUAACAUGCUUGCGAGUGUUCGGGUGGAAAACCCUUGCGCGGAAUGAAAGUGAAAGUUGGGAGCCUCCGCGAGGGGGUGCACCGACGCCCGGCCCUGAAGUUCUCUGACGGUGCUGCGGUAGAGCAGGUGUGUUGGGACCCGAAAGAUGGUGAACUAUGCCUGAAUAGGGCGAAGCCAGAGGAAACUCUGGUGGAGGCUCGUAGCGAUUCUGACGUGCAAAUCGAUCGUCAAAUUUGGGUAUAGGGGCGAAAGACUAAUCGAAC
rnacentral:rRNA from 1 species